GACGAACGCUGGCGGCGUGCCUAAUACAUGCAAGUCGAGCGCAGGAAACUGACGGAACUCUUCGGAGGGAAGGCAGUGGAAUGAGCGGCGGACGGGUGAGUAACACGUAAGGAACCUGCCUCUAGGAUUGGGAUAACUCCGAGAAAUCGGAGCUAAUACCGGAUAGUUCAACGGACCGCAUGGUCCGCUGAUGAAAGGCGCUCCGGCGUCACCUUGAGAUGGCCUUGCGGUGCAUUAGCUAGUUGGUGGGGUAACGGCCCACCAAGGCGACGAUGAAUAGCCGACCUGAGAGGGUGAUCGGCCACACUGGGACUGAGACACGGCUCAGACUCCUACGGGAGGCAGCAGUAGGGAAUCUUCCACAAUGGACGAAAGUCUGAUGGAGCAAUGCCGCGUGAGUGAUGAAGGUUUUCGGAUCGUAAAACUCUGUUGUAAGGGAAGAACACGUACGAGAGGGAAUGCUCGUACCUUGACGGUACCUUACGAGAAAGCCACGGCUAACUACGUGCCAGCAGCCGCAGUAAGAC
rnacentral:rRNA from 1 species